UGGUGGCCUAGUGGUUAAGACGCCUGCCUGGUAACCCAGGGGUCGCGGGUUCAA
rnacentral:tRNA from 11 species